rfam:Echinococcus granulosus EG_S00021, whole genome shotgun sequence.
UUUAGAUAUGGUGAUAUGGUGCCCUCAACAAUAAUGGGAAAGGUGGUGGGAGGAAUCUGCUCCCUCUCGGGGGUUCUCGUCAUUGCACUUCCUGUUCCAGUCAUUGUCUCAAAU